GAUGAACGCUGGCGGCGUGCCUAAUACAUGCAAGUCGAGCGAACGGACGAGAAGCUUGCUCCUCUGAUGUUAGCGGCGGACGGGUGAGUAACACGUGGAUAACCUACCUAUAAGACUGGGAUAACUUCGGGAAACCGGAGCUAAUACCGGAUAAUAUUUUUAACCGCAUGGUUCAAAAGUGAAAGAUGGUCUUGCUUUCACUAAUAGAUGGAUCCGCGCUGCAUUAGCUAGUUGGUAAGGUAACGGCUUACCAAGGCAACGAUGAAUAGCCGACCUGGAAGGGGGAUCGGCCACACGGGAACUGGGACACGGUCAAGACUCCUACGGGAGGCAGCAGUAGGGAAUCUUCCGCAAUGGGCGAAGGCCUGACGGAGCAACGCCGCGUGAGUGAUGAAGGUCUUCGGAUCGUAAAACUCUGUUAUUAGGGAAGAACAUAUGUGUAAGUAACUGUGCACAACGUGACGGUACCUAAUCAGAAAGCCACGGCUAACUACGUG
rnacentral:rRNA from 1 species